AUGAAGAGUUGAAGAACACAGGGAACAAAGAAAAGAAGAAGGACAAGGAUAAACAAGAAAAGAUGAAGAAGAGCAAAGAUAGUGGGGGCUCAGAAAACGAUGGAGAGAUGGAUCAAAAAGAGAAAAAGAAGAAACACAAAAAAGAGAAGAAGAGCAAAGAUAGUGGGGGCUCAGAAAAUGAUGGAGAGAGGGAUCAAAAAGAGAAAAAGAAGGACAAGAAGACCAAAGGUAAAGGUUUAGAUGAAGAAGAAGAGACAGAGUGCAAAGAUGAAAAAUCGAGCGCCAAGGAUGACUCGAACCACACAGAGGAAGAGCUAGACAAAAAUGAAGAGAAGAAUAUAAAGAAGAAAAAGCACAAGCUAAAAGGAGAAAACGAAGAUGAAGAAGAGAAAAGAAAGGUUAAAGAUAAGAAGAAGGAGCAGAAAGAAGAGGAGAAGAAGGGUAAAAAUAAAGGAGAGGAUGAUGGGGAAAAUGAAGAUGAAGACAAUGAAGAAAAAGAAGGUAAAAAGAAGAAGAAAAAGGAUAAGGGAAAAUGUGAUGACUACGAAAAAGAGGGGAAGAAGAAGAAGGAUAAGAUGAAAGGCAAGGAUAAAAAGAAGAAGAAAGACGUGGAUAAUGAUGAAGAAGAGAAGACGGACCAGGAGGAGAG
rnacentral:lncRNA from 1 species